GCGAGUGCGCAGGCGCGAGGCGCAUGCGCGGCGGCGCGGCGCUCCCCCGCCCCUCCCUCCCGCGCAGGCGCAGUUGGCGCCUGUGGCCUCGGCAGGUCCAGGAUGGCGCGGUCUUAAAGGGGCCGCACCCCUUUGUAGGCCAUGCUGGGCAGGGUGGGGUCCCUAGUGGGGUGGGCUGCAGGGGAAGUGGUGCUGGGGCAAGUGGCAUCGCCCGCCAUGGGCUGCUGGGGUUGGGAUGCCGCCACGGCCUGGAGUCCUACAAUAUGGCAUGCAACGUGCCACGGUGUGUCGCGCACGUGGCUUCACGCCACAGUGCCACCGCCAAGUCCUGCCAGGCGCCACACUUCGCACCCCAUAUUGUGGGGUGGCCCAUAUUAUGAGCCCCCUACUUGACACCUUGGAGGCCCUGUCUUGUGCCUCGUGCACCGCCGGAGCAUCCCCAGCGCCAAGUGUUUGCCGUCGUGGCUGGGUACAGGUUGCUGUUGUCUUUGGGAGCGGCCUGUGCGAUGAUCCGACUUUCACACGGCCACCAGAGCCGUUUCCCAAGCUGCUGAUGGUGAUAGCACAGCAAUGACGUUUCUUUUGGAGACGCCCAGAGGCACCUCCCUUCCAUCUGGAGAUCAGCACCACGUUGUUCUAGAAACUGAACAAAUGCAGAAUGAGAAACAUUGCGGCUCCUGAAGAGCCUAGGAUUGUCCAGAGAAACUAGACUAGUCAUUUUUUAUCUCACUUAUAGUGCCUAAUCUCUUUCAAUCGUGAAUAAUAAUAUUAAUAAGAAAUUUCUAGUGGAACAUUACAAUACCUGGCUUGCAAAGACAGCUGAAGUCUGUUUCCUUGCUUUCAGUGGAUGUUUCCAUACUUUACAGAAAUAUUUCUGUUUGUCAAAAGUCUGUUUCUAACGCCCUAAUCUUGCCAAAAUAGGCAUACAUGUUUAAUGUUAUGCACAUGUGAGGUUCUGCUUGGAAUUAUAUCAUAAUCCCAGUGACUUUAAAUUAAAUGUAAGUAUGCAUGUGAAUUUUUGCAGCAUCAGGUUUAAAUAUUUUUAACAGUUUUCAUCACUUUGGUGCAUUUCAACCGUUAAAGCUGCCAAUCCAUUAAAAGGAUACACAUCAAUCAAAAAAAAAUUCAAAUCUGCAUGUUCUUGGGGAUACAAGCUGUCGCCUUUUUAUCUGGAAAAAUGCCAAACAUUGUUGAGAGGCAAGGAUUUUUUGGCAAUAUAUUUUAUUGGACCAACUGUAUAGCUGGGAGAGAUGUUAGACAAGAUUUAGCAUCCACAAAUAAUGAAUACGAACCACAUCAUUCACGUUCUUCAAUAUGUAAAUAAUCUAAGUAUUAAUUAAAAGUCUGACUUAACAGAAGUCUUAAUUCCCUUUCCUAAUUUGACAUGCACUGUUAACAUAUAUUGUUAAAUAGGACUGUCUAUUAUGCCAAAGAUGUCUGUUUUUCAGUGGUGAGUGAAAUGAACUCUGCAUAAAUUGUAUCCUUCACUUCCUGUCCUAAAAUAUUCUAUAUUGGCACUAUGUUUCCAGAGGUGGAUGAAUUCCAAUGACAUUGAAGUGAUUCCUUUCUCUGGUAGUAAUUGUUAAUAAAUUAUUAAUAAUAAAUAUUUAUAUAAUACUCUUCAUUUUCAAAUGUUGUAACUAUUUGUCAGUUUGUUACAUUUAGAAAGCACUUUGGGAUUUUACUUGAUGAAAGAUGCCAUAUAUUUAAAAUAAUAACGCUGCUGUGAACCUUAAUUAACAAAGUAAUGUAUGAUUCUUGAAUAGACAAAAAUGCAAAAUAUAAUUUUUUUUUAUUGAGCAAUCUAAUAACGAUGUUGACAAAUGCAAGCAUUCAGAGCAUCACAAGUCAGCAUCCAAAUUGUCAGGAGUAUUACUUAAACAUCAUUAGAUUUUUUUUAAAUAAUAUGUGUGUGAUUCUAUUUUUCUUUGACUUCAGCCUCAUGAGCUUUAAGGAUACAGUCAAGUCACAUUUUUAAUAUUUUUCUGUGCACCCAUAAAAGUGAGCGACUGGUUUUUUUAUUUAAAUUAAAGCUGAGUUUUUUAUGUGAUCACAUGACUCUAGGAGCUAAGGCCUUAAAAAAAGCCGACUAGCAUAAGGCUAGCAAUAAAAUCAUGAGGCUUGGCAACACUGAUAAUGCAAACCGUGGUGUGUAGAACAGGUUUGUAGAGUGCUGUAUGUCCAUCCAAACUGUAUAGUUGAUCCAAGAAAGUAUACUACCCACACAAAUCCUUGCUUCUUGUAGUAUUGUUUAAUAAUUUGUUCAGAGCACAGUUACAGGAACAAUAGUCUUCUAUUUUUUCUUUUCUAAGCAAGUAAAUUAAUUGGGAUGUUAGGGGAAAUAACAGUAGGGACAAUAGUUCAUUGGAAACUUAUUCAGAGCACCCAGUACACUUUGUUGUUAAUUAUUGGUCCUGUCCUCAAAACUGAGUGUAACAAAAUGAUGUGCUGUUAAGAAUUGUGCCAGUUGAAUCAUUUUAUCUCAAAUUGAUAAAGUGGCACUGAUAAUGAGGGUUAUUAGUUUGUGGAAUAAUCUCCUACAUGAGGAAGUAAAUAUGUCACCUGAGGCAUUUCAAUUAAAUCAGGCAGAUCCCUGGAGUUUAAAUUCUUGAGCAGUUCUUCCUGCUGUCAACAUAAAAUAUUCUUUAUGGAGCUCCGCAUACUCUUACCAUCAAACUUUUAAAUGAAAGAGUGAAUUAAGUGGGACUUACGAGAGGGGGGAAUAGAAGUUAAAGUUGUUACAGGUUUUCAAGCUGGGGUGGGGCAGGGGGAAUUAUGAGAACUUUCUUUCUUAAUAGACAUGGAAAUAGAACAAGUAAAAUAAUAAUUGCAAGUAAUAUGUAAAUAGAAUAGAAGCAUGAUCUCUAGAAACAUAUUUCAAACCUUACUAAUUCAGUUUCAAAGUCAAAUGGUAUUCCUCUAUUCCCUGUUUCCAAAAUUGGAGGUGUGGGGUAGCCCUCUACCACGAUGUAAAUUGAGUGGAUCUUAAAUCACCCCACAAUGUGUGGCACUCUGUGUCACUUUUAAAAGGAUCUCACAGCACCUUGGUUGAGAAUCACUGCUGUUGGCAUGUACUUUGGCUUCAGGGUGGCUUAUUUUUAUGGAAUUUAAACCUAUUUUUGAUAGACCCGCACAAAACUGAGAUGGGAGCACCCACACGGCCUUUAUCAAUGCUUUAGUCAAAUUAGCUUAAAAUCACAACUUAAAUUAAUCCUGAUCGACGCCAUGUAAUACGCCCGUUUACACUGGAGUUGAGCAAAAGUCCCAUUUCCAUCAGCACAUCCCAAUAUUCUUUUAUUCUUUCUUUGAUGAAGCUUUGUCACUGCUCUGUUAGCACCGUCACCUUUUACCAUGCUCAGGAACGAUUCUGCCAAUCCCAAUGGAGUGCAGGAUUGUCUACCUACCAAAUGCAAGCAUGCCAAGAAAAUGUUCACCUCCUGCUUCUCUGAUCUUGAGACCUCAUCCAAAGCCCAGUGAAGUCAAAGAGGACCCCCGCGAUAAGACUCUAUAGACUGAGAACCUUCUUCAACCUACCCCCAUUGCAGACCAUUGGACAGGUUUUUGGGAGUCUUUAUUGAUUUAAGCUGAUGUUGGAUCAAGCCUAGGUGACUGGAGGAGGAUUCAGAGAAGAGACAGCAUUUAAUCUGGCUGGGGUUACGUAACCCCAGCGCUCCUUCCUGCCUGGAGCAGGGGGUUGGACCCGAUGAUCUACCAGUUCCCUUCCGACUCUAGAAAUCUAUGAAUCUAUUAAAUCUUUGAAGGAAAGCUUUUAUUACACUAACCCCACCCUGCCCUUGGUGUAUCUAUUCCCAAGGCAGAGUAAAAAUGGACUGAAUUAUUAUUGCCAAAGGGAACAAUCCCCAAACCACUGCUAGAAAGUGCUUAAAGAAAGCCCCUUCCAAUGCCAAUGAGGUGAAGAGUGACAACUGAUAAUCACUUAGGUCCACUCAGGUUAUACUGACAUUUCACCUACUGUGACUUUUCUCCAUGAAAAUAAACAUUUCACUUCAA